AGAGUUGUUCCUGGCUCAGAUUGAACGCUGGCGGCAGGCCUAACACAUGCAAGUCGAGCGGAUGACGGGAGCUUGCUCCUUGAUUCAGCGGCGGACGGGUGAGUAAUGCCUAGGAAUCUGCCUGGUAGUGGGGGACAACGUUUCGAAAGGAACGCUAAUACCGCAUACGUCCUACGGGAGAAAGCAGGGGACCUUCGGGCCUUGCGCUAUCAGAUGAGCCUAGGUCGGAUUAGCUAGUUGGUGGGGUAAUGGCUCACCAAGGCGACGAUCCGUAACUGGUCUGAGAGGAUGAUCAGUCACACUGGAACUGAGACACGGUCCAGACUCCUACGGGAGGCAGCAGUGGGGAAUAUUGGACAAUGGGCGAAAGCCUGAUCCAGCCAUGCCGCGUGUGUGAAGAAGGUCUUCGGA
rnacentral:rRNA from 1 species